UAGACUGCUUGAGGACUCAUCCCCCUCCCUCUGACAACAUUUAAAAAGCUUGCUUAAAAGGUGAAGUUGUUUCAGACACUCUAAAUGUUGAACCAAGAAUGUCUGGGUAAAUCUAAGAGCAGAGAUGCUGUAUUUGUAGCAAAGGGAAUAAAGUUAUGGUGGAUUCCUGUACUGUGAAUGAACUGAUGGUCUUCCCAUCAUCGCCUGAAGUGCACUGGUUUCACAGCACACAACUCUGGGGCACCAGGGGUUUAGUGUGUCCCAGCUGAGUGUUAGCUGGGGUUUUCACUUGAAAAAAUGUUUGCGGAGGAGCCCCCAGAUGCGCUCUGGUGUGAAGGAAGCACUGGCAGCAGCCGAGGAAAACAGAAGCCCCGUGGCUGCGGUGCCCGGCGCGGUCGGGGCGCUGCGGUCGGGGUCCUGCCCCCGCGGCAGGCGCAGCUCGGCCGUAGGAAGGCACGCUUGGAGUAACGACGGAUCUCGGGGUAAUCUGUUCUGUGGGGCUGCCUUCGAAGGAGCUGGUUUUAACCACUGACAGGAAAACUGUGGAAGUGUGUGUGCAUCUUGGAUGAAUGCAAGGCCUCAUGGACUGGAGGAAGAAUAUUUUGGAUGUUCUUGCAAAAUCAAAACUUUCCUGCCGCGACAUACUGAACAUUCAGUCAGACUUCUGCUUAAAGUGAGCUGCAGCACUGAGGUGGGAACAUGUGGUUCUGUGGGAUCUCCUCGUCUGUAACUACAAAGCUGGAAGUUGGAGGUGAUGCUGGUUGCGUAAAGCAGAAAGGAGGAACAAGCUGUGGAGUGGGUGGGAGCUGCAACAUGGUAAGCACAGGCAGGCAGAGACUCUGUAGUGCCUGAAGAGUAAAAAGCGGUCUUUGUGCUCUUCAGGGGUGGACUAAGCAGGGUGUAAAAAAGCUGGAUAUAAAGGCUGCAGCAAAAUGAGAAGUGGGAGGGUGGAUGUGUGCACACUAAAUAAAACCCCCCACCUGCUCAGAAUGAAUAAGAAACUAAUCCACACACACUUUGAUUUGGGCUGGAGCAUUCUCCCAUUUCCCAGGCAAUGCUGGCAUCAUGUGGCCGCUUUUCUUAGCUUGCCUUGUACUGAAAUAUUUCUGAAAAAUCUUUGCUCUUUCUCAGCAUCUUUCCUAUUGGAAUACACUCCCUGCCAAAAAUAAAAAUAAAGGUCAUGAACAUCACUAAACUCAGAUACUUCACUCACCUGAUUGUUUUGGGACAGCAUCUAUACCUUAUAGAAGACAUAAGGUAACUUGGUUGUUUGUUUGGGGCCUUGUACUUUCUGACCACUGGUCAUAUUUUUCAAAUGGUCAGACUGCCUCUUCUGACAUACAAAGGAGUUUCUAGCUGUGAUUUACUUUUCCAUCUAAAUGAGCAGAGGAAAUUGCCACCUGCAUGGCAGGCUGUGGUGGGAGUGUUUUCCCACUGUGGGGACACUUGUAAGGAGGGAGAGCAAUGUUAGAGGAUGGUGGGUUUGCAGGGAGUGAAAAGAAGCUAAGGCAGCAGCAAUUCUUCCUUGAGAGGAGGAGUGUGGGCCGCAAGAGGAGGGUUGAAGCUCAUUUUGGAAGGAGCUGGAGGAGAGAUCUUGCA